ensembl:lncRNA
CACCAUCUUCAUUACCCAAGCUUUGCAACAAACAUUUUAGUAUUCACACCCUGUUACACUUUGAAUAUGUCAAAUAAAGCUUUACUUUUGAUGCUCACACAAAAAAGCAAAUGUUUGUUCAAUUUAAAAACAGGGAAACCAAAUGAAGAGUCACCUGCCCCCCCAUCCGGUUGCAUAAUGAUGGCCGCUCAGUUUCUGCUAAUCCCCCUGCUUCUUCUUGCGCUGCUGAUUUUACUGAUGUGGAAGAAAGGGACAUUCAGGCGAUGGAAACCUCCACAGAGCACAACUGAGCAGCAUUGUCUAUAUUUGGCUAACACAGGACUGCCUGCACAUGGACGAUCACUUGAGGCAACAAGUGAAGAGCCUGCUGUGGACAGGACUGAUACGGGGAUGUGUGACAGACAACAAAAUCUCAAUCAAGGAGAGGACAUGGGCCCCACUGAAUGGAGUGAUAAUUCUGCCGAUGAUUCUGACGACUAUGUCAACGAUACCUAUCAGGACGGAGCCCCUGAUGAAGGAGCCGCAAGACCUUAUGCCACAGUGUCGAAGAAAAGAAAGAAAAAGAAACCAGAGCCACUGUAUUCAAUUGUUCUUCAGUAGUUUUUGUUUCUAUUCUGAAAAUGCAGUGUAACAGUUUGUUAUCAUGUUAUUUGAAAGCUCCUUGAUCAAUGCGAACUUUGUUGUGUAAUGAUUUGCCAUGAUUUCUCAUUUUCACCACCCGAACAUAUGAAUGUGUGAAUACGCAAUAAAUCAUACAAGUGCAAUUUACAUGUUAAUUUGAUUAUAUGUUAAUACUUUAGAUGAAAUGAUGAUUCAGUGGAUUAGGCAGAGGUACUCUGUAUUUUAUACACAUCUGUGCUUCUCACAUACCGGCGAGGUCAGGAUGUUGACCCAGUUGAGUUUGGAAUUACGGGCACAGGACCUCAAGCCUAAGGGAUGUGGGAUUGGUGCACUGACUGACAAACACACAUGUUUAUAAAACUUCUCUUGUUUGUAUAUUAAUUAAACAACACAUGAAUCUUAUGAUGAUUAUGCUCUGGGUCAAUUUUUAAUAAAUGUAUUCAGUUGGGAAAAAGGCAAUAGUGUUUCAUUUCUGAAGAUGAUGCUAUCUCUGAAAGGUAAAUGGG